UCCAUGAUUCACACACACAAACACCCCUUUUCUCUCUCUCUCUCUCUCACUCUCUCUAACCAAUUAACUCAAUGACACGUUUCCAUCUCUAUAAAACCACACAUACCCACUUCACUAUCUCAUCAUAAGGUGCCCCUACCACCACGCUAGUUAGCUACCUCCACACUCUCACUCUUUGAGAGAUAGAAUCAGUAACAACAACCAAUGAUGGAGUCAGACUCGGAGAAGAAGUGUGAUCAUGUUCACGAACCAACCUACAAGCCGACAAAACUCCCUCUCUUAAUCUCGCGGCCAAGCAUAGCGCCGGGCACUCCUCCUCCGCCGUCGCCGCCGCAGACCACCAUUUCGGUUCCUUUCCAGUGGGAGGAAGCACCGGGGAAGCCCAGGCAUUCCCACACCGAAUCGGAGCCCGACAACAGUGUUAAAAAAACACUGGAGCUGCCUCCGAGGUUGUUGUUUUUGUUGGACACCAACGUGGACGGGCCUUCCCAUACAACCGUGUUGGAUGGGCCUUACGUGGGCCGAGCCGUCUCCUUCACCACCUCCUAUAGGACUCCCAGGGGUUACUGGAAUUCCAACUUUGGCUCCUCCAGAUGGAGCGGCUACAAGAAGAUUACCACCGACGACGGCGAGGGCAGUUUUGACUUUUCACCUCACUGUUCUUCCACUACAAUGCCAAACGUCAAGAUCACAAGGGUUCCCAGAAGAGGAACCUUCUGGACUCUGUCCAAGCAAAGGUCACAGUUGUGGAUAUCCCUGCUACUUGCGAUCGAGAAAUUCUUGUUGGCUAUGGGAAAAAAACAAAAAACAUUUUGAGAACAUCCCCAUCAUAAUACUUUUGAAGAUCUCGAAAAUCAUACAAGUCAAUGAUGACAGGCAAGCAUUUAUGAAAGCUUUAAGCAAGUGGUCCCAUGGAAACGCAAGCAACAAACGCAGAAAAAAUGUGCUUCCAAAUUCGACACUGUUUGAUCUUUUAGAUUUUUACUCCUGUCAAAUGUACUUAUUCCACAAAUUAUAUCCUUCUCACAAAAAAAUGCUAUUUAUGUAUAAAUAAAAAAAAAAUAUUUUACAUGUUGCACUCCUAUCUCGCACCGUAGCGUAUGGUCAAACAGUUUGUAAAUAUAAUUUUGGUGGUAAACUUGUAUAUAUAUAAUUACAAAUAAUUACUGAAUUAUCAUGUUAUUGUACAGCCAU